CCUACGGGAGGCAGCAGUGAGGAAUCUUGGUCAAUGGACGGAAGUCUGAACCAGCCAUGCCGCGUGAAGGUCAGUGCCCUAUGGGCGUUAAACUUCUUUUGUGCGGGAACAAUAAUGGUCACGUGUGGCCAGACGAGAGUACCGUACGAAUAAGCAUCGGCUAACUCCGGGCCAGCAGCCGCGGUCAUACGGGGGAUGCAAGCGUGAUCCGGAUUUAUUGGGUUUUAAGGGUGCGUAGGCUGGGAGGUAAGUCAGCGGUGAAAUGGCCCCGCUCAACGGGGUGAAGUGCCAUUGAUACUGUCUUGCUGGAAUGCGGGUGCGGUGGGAGGAAUGUGUGGUGUAGCGGUGAAAUGCAUAGAUAUCA
rnacentral:rRNA from 1 species